rnacentral:rRNA from 1 species
CCUACGGGAGGCAGCAGUGGGGAAUCUUGCGCAAUGGGCGAAAGCCUGACGCAGCAACGCCGCGUGCGGGAAGAAGGCUUUCGGGCUGUAAACCGCUUUCAGCAGGAACGAAAAUGACGGUACCUGCAGAAGAAGGAGCGGCCAACUAUGUGCCAGCAGCCGCGGUGAUACAUAGGCUUCAAGCGUUGUCCGGAUUUAUUGGGCGUAAAGAGUUCGUAGGCGGUCGAGUAAGUCGGGUGUGAAAAUUCUGGGCUCAACCCAGAGACGCCACCCGAUACUGCUUGACUUGAGUUCGAUAGGGGAGUGGGGAAUUCCUAGUGUAGCGGUGAAAUGCGCAGAUAUUAGGAGGAACACCGGUGGCGAAGGCGCCACUCUGGAUCGAUACUGACGCUGAGGAACGAAAGCAUGGGUAGCAAACAGGAUUAGAUACCCUGGUAGUCCAUGCCGUAAACGGUGGGCACUAGGUGUGGGUUUCCUAUUAACGAAAUCCGCGCCGUCGCUAACGCAUUAAGUGCCCCGCCUGGGGAGUACGGUCGCAGACUAAACUACAAGAAGUAGUACGCGNGAGACGACGCGACGACGACGACGACGGAGGAGGAG